AAACAGGGAAACGAACAGGUCGAGGGGUUUUGGUUUUGUUACCUUCGAGAAUCCGGACGAUGCAAAAGAUGCUCUAGAAGGAAUGAAUGGAAAGUCUGUGGACGGCAGGCCGAUCCGCGUGGACGAGGCAGGCAAAGGAGGCAGCGGCCGUUCAGGCGGCGGUGGAUACAGGGCCGGUGGCGGAGGAAGAGGCGGUGGAUUUUUUAGGGGAGGGAGAGGAAGAGGUGGACCAAGAGGUGGUGGGGGAUAUGGAGGUGGUGACAGGGGUUAUGGAGGGGGUGACCGCAGCUAUGGUGGAGGGGACAGGGGCUACGGUGGCGGUGACCGUGGUUAUGGAGGAGACAGGAGCUAUAGUGGAGGAGGUGGUUACAAGAGUGGAGGUGGCAGUGGCUACUCCUCUGGAGAGGGUGGUGGAUACAGUAGAGACAGGGGUUCCGGUUAUGGAGACCGUGGAGGUUCAUACAGAGAUGGAUAUGAUGGCUAUGACUGGUGAACACACUGCUCGAGUGAGGUGGUCAGCACUGGCGCUCUUCUUGAAGCUUGCCACGUUCAGCCUCACUCACCCUGAGGUAUCUUCUGCUCUGCUCCAACGUUUUGCAUUUUUAAGAAAAGAAAAAAAGAAAAACGUGCUGUCAUGAUGGACCGAAACUAGUAAACUAUAUAGUAAUCUUAUGUGGAAGAUAAAGGAUUAACUUUGAAAACCUGUUAGUACUAUAACUCAGCUCCUCCCCCAAACUACCGGGGAGGAAUGUGCUCUGUUCUGUGUCGAAACUGACUCACUAUUCUUUACAUUUUGUUUGUUUGUUUUUUUGAUUUUUUGGCUUUAUGGAGCCUAUUAAAUGAAACAAACUGUUGAAAAUGCUCUGAUUUUGCUUGUGCUUUUAAACUAGUUUGCAGUGCUGAAUGGUUUCCAAAAGCCAGUGGCUCAAAAUCAAAAUACCAAAUUUUUAAUUAUGUAAAAAUUUAAGGGAAAGUUGCACUAACCUUCUUAAACUGCACACAAAUUGGAACUAGUGCCUACUUUUGAUCUGAUGGUAUAAGGAAAGGGGAAAGUGUCCAACUAUCAGUGUAAAGUGGGAGGUGUUAGAUUUACUCUGAAGGGAAAUUAGGCAAAUGAUUACAUGUAAGGUCACAUGCACUUUGACACUGAAUCUUUUUUAAAGAUUAUAAUUAUGUGUCACCAUAUGAUGUACAAUGCCAACAUUAGGGCUGUUCAUUUUAAAUGCUGCUGUAUUAGAAUUGCAAGUUGUGCCCUUUAAAAAAAAAAAAGGCUUUUUACUGUUUUAAAAACAUUUUUAGCAAAACCGUAACCUUUGGUGCAGUUAACAGUUCACCAAAAACUAUUGCAAUAACCCAAUGAUUGGACAGUUGUGCUGGUUAACAGUUCUGCUUUUGGCUCUGGUACAAAAAGAAAAUGCAUCAGUGUAUCCAAGAGCUGUGCUUCUGUAAAGCGGGGAGCAAAAUUCCUCACUCGCAUCCUUGGAGAAUGAAGUUUUGCACCUACCGAAGUGAGCCUCCUGUCAUUGGAACAGGAGGGAACUGCUGCUCUCGUGGGCUAGUUGAUGUUUGGAGAAACAGUAGGCCUGUAUGUGCGAGGUAACCUUCAUUUGCUCUCCUGUUCACAACCUUCAAACCUUCUUUAUUCCGUAUUAUUUUUCUCUAAGUAAAUGCGUCAGUGUUUACCAAGUUACGUCCCCACCAUGCCACAAAUGUCAGUCCUAGCCCUCUCGACACACGUCUGCAUGGUGUCCUGAGGCCCUAUUGUCACCUGUCGCCCUCUCCGGGAGCCUGGCAUUUUGAGCUUUAAAUUCACAUGUGGGGGGGCGUCAAGACGCUGUGAAUGAGACCUGGUUCAACCCCUGUCCACUUCUAUUCUCAUGUCUCAUUCACCCAUCCUGAGCCAUUCUUGAACCUGUGAAAAUUUGUUUGUGCUCUGACCCAUCUCGGAGUUAACGCAGUCACCCUCUGGAGCACAGUUUCCUUCGUGACCUGUAGAGUCAGUGUAUUUGUCUGUUUUGCUCAUGCUCCAUGUUAGCUAGUGCUAACUCUUCAUUUUUAAUAAAAUACUUCUUGUAGUAUCUAUUAUCUAACAAAGUAUUAGUUCAUUUAUGAUACCUGUCUGUUCUUGCCUAGUGAUUGCUUGUUUGUUUUUGACUAGGUUGAAAAUGUCUCCUGGGAAAGGUCUUUCAGUGUCAAACACUCCUUGUGUGGCAGUGAUGGUUAAUCUCCCAUGCUGUAGAUUGAGGUGUGGCAUAUAGAAGAGAUUUGGGUCACGUCAGAUGGCAGCAAAAGUGAGAUGCUACCAUGGAAUUUUGUUUUGAUCACAUGACAACUAAUAGCUGGGCAAGACGGGUUACAGCACUUUCAUAAUCUUUAGGUGAAUAUGCAUGUAAGAGAUGCUGAAAAUGUCACUAGUGGUUUAAUUGAGGUGAACUGGUUAAUUUAUAAUACAUAUUCAUCAUUGAAAUAAUGGUGUGUUGGUGUCUAAUUUUCAUCUUUGGCAUUACAUUCAGACAAACUAGGGAUCAUUGCUGCUGUUGUACACUUUCAAUGUAUAAGGACACUUUUGUGUAGCUGUAGCUGAUGGCAAAAAGUCACAAAUGUGAUGACCAAAGAGGCUGAGUAGCUAAACAGAUGCCUCGUGAGUUGAAUAAUUUGAUGCAAUUACCAAAAAUUCUUCAGUAUGAGGCUUAAGUAACACGUCAUUCUUUUUCUGAUGCAGAUGUUUUAAUUAAUUGGCCCUUUGUGGUGUGCAGUAUUAUAAUGAUGUUUUCUUUUGGAAAUUGAAGAACGUGUCUCUUUUUCAGCAUUCUAUAAAUAAAGUACCAACAUUCAGAACUAC